rnacentral:lncRNA from 1 species
AUGGACAUUCACGACCACGUUUGGCGGGAAGAGUUUUUCCUAAAUUGUCACAGAGUCAUAAAGUUAAUGUUUGGCUACGUGAAGCAUUUACACAAAAUCUUUCCUUUUUUCAGGGUGAGCUCCUUUUCACGGAGCUGGAACAGGAACCCUGAGUUGGAGAAUAUUUGGACCAGCCUCUGCUGCUGCCCUGAAGCAUGUUGAACACUGACUGGUCCAGCCAGGCAAACAAAGGGUUAAGGUACCGUCUCUCCUUCAAGAUUUUUCUAGAAGGAAGACUUUUUUUUUUAAGUUUAUUUAUUUUGAGAGAGAGAGAGAGCACAAGCAGAGGAGGGGCAGAGAGAGAGGGAGAGGGAGAGAAUCCAAAGCAGGCUCUGCACUGACAUGGGGUUGAACUCACGAACCAUGAGACCAUGACCUGAGCUGAAAUCAAGGGUCAGAUACUUAACUGACUGAGCCACCUGGGCACGUCCUAGGAGGGAGCCUUUCUGUACGCUCAUCUCUCUCCUGGCCUCCCCUCUCAUCUACCAGCCUCCUAUUUUGCCUGACCUGCGGUCCAGUCCCCCACCUGCAGCCAGAGUCUUCUUCAUAAAAGGUAGGUCUUACCAAGUCACUCUACUGCCUAACACCUUCUUGAUUUCCCAUCGUUCUUGGAUCGCCCACGAGCUGGCCACUGCCCCAUCCCAGCUCCUACUCCCCUAUCUCCUCCUUACAUCAAACAUUCCAACAGCACAGGAAGCUGGUUUCCUUCCCAUGCCUCCCUGCUUUUGCUCAUGCUGUCCUCUGACCUACAGUGCCCCCUCCCCACCUGUCUGCUAGUCUGACCCCUACUCUUCCUGUUAGACUGAGCUUCUUUUCCUCCUCCACUUGUAGUCCACGUGGCCCAGGAGUGCUCAGCACAUGGUGUUAUAGCUACAGAAGAUAGAUACAGUGGUAAUUAUGUGCUUAAUGUCUGUCUCUGGGGAUGGGCAAACCCCCUGUGAGCGUGGGCUGUGGCUGUCUUAUUCCCUACAGUAUGUGCAGCACACUGGGUGAGGAGCGGUAAACAGGCAACGCUUUUGUAGUGCUAACUGUGCACCCAGCCAGGAAUUGUUCUAAGAAUCUCACGUGUGUUAGCUCAUUUAAUCCUUACCACAACUCAGUGGGAUACAUAUUGUUAUGAGUCCCUGUUUACAGAUGAGAAAAUAGGCACAGGGAGGUGAAU